UGUUCAGCAAACCCCUCCACCUGCUUGCCCCGGGCCCUCGUCCAGCCCCCUGGCCGGGCCUCACCGGCGGGCCCCACCAGGCACGUACCACUGCAGAUCACCUGGCACAUCUUGGCUUCAUUGGUCCUUGGGUGAACAAAGUCACAGGGAGACAGGCAGCAAGAAAGAGACCAGAAGAAGGCAACAGGCGGGCAAAGAAAGGCAGGAAACCAAGGGAUGCUGGGAGCAGAGAAGAGGCGUUGUUGGGGGAAAGGGAACAGCACAGAACUCAUCAGCAAGUCCCAUCAGUCAGAACCUCAUUCAUCUCUCCCGUCUGCGCACCCCUCACCAGCCUGGCCCCAGCCUGAGCCACCAAUGCCUCUCACGUACACACCUCUCAUCCCUUCUCCACCCACACAACAGCUAGAAUGUUCUUCCUGGAACCUGCGUGUCACAAGGCAACCCUACAGCUUUCCGGGGCUCUCAAGUAAGGUCCAGACUCUACCACACCCACCAGGCCCUGCCAGCCUCUCCAACCCCACUUUCCACCAUCUGCCCUCACCCUAACGACAGCCACAGUGACCUCUCAGUCCUUCAGAGAAGCCGAGCCUUUCCCUGCCUCAGGGCCUUUGCACAUGACGUUCUCCGUGCAGAACGCCCUCCCGCAUCUGGUUCUUCACCAUCGUCUCGUCCUUUCGGGUCACAACUGAAAUGUCGCUACCCCAGUGAGGGCCCUCACAGAGGUGAGGUCCCCUCCCUCCUGAUCUCAAACAGCCACCAGGCUGUUCUCGUCACACCACAUGUCAUCUCAUAUGAUGAUGGCCGAUUUUCUUGUU